AGAGUUUGAUCCUGGCUCAGAUUGAACGCUGGCGGCAUGCUUUACACAUGCAAGUCGAACGGCAGCAUAGAGAGCUUGCUCUCUGAUGGCGAGUGGCGAACGGGUGAGUAAUACAUCGGAACGUGUCCUGUUGUGGGGGAUAACUACUCGAAAGAGUAGCUAAUACCGCAUAAGACCUAAGGGUGAAAGCGGGGGACCGAAAGGCCUCGCGCAGUUGGAGCGGCCGAUGACUGAUUAGCUAGUUGGUGGGGUAAAGGCCUACCAAGGCGACGAUCAGUAGCUGGUCUGAGAGGACGACCAGCCACAUUGGGACUGAGACACGGCCCAAACUCCUACGGGAGGCAGCAGUGGGGAAUUUUGGACAAUGGGGGCAACCCUGAUCCAGCCAUGCCGCGUGCGGGAAGAAGGCCUUCGGGUUGUAAACCGCUUUUGUCAGGGACGAAAAGGUGCGGGUUAAGAGCUAGCACUGAUGACGGUACCUGAAGAAUAAGCACCGGCUAACUACGUGCCAGCAGCCGCGGUAAUACGUAGGGUGCGAGCGUUAAUCGGAAUUACUGGGCGUAAAGCGUGCGCAGGCGGUUGGGUAAGACAGAUGUGAAAUCCCCGAGCUUAACUUGGGAACUGCAUUUGUGACUGCUCAACUAGAGUAUGUCAGAGGGAGGUGGAAUUCCAAGUGUAGCAGUGAAAUGCGUAGAUAUUUGGAAGAACACCGAUGGCGAAGGCAGCCUCCUGGGAUAAUACUGACGCUCAUGCACGAAAGCGUGGGGAGCAAACAGGAUUAGAUACCCUGGUAGUCCACGCCCUAAACGAUGUCAACUAGUUGUUGGGCCGCAUGGCUUAGUAACACAGCUAACGCGAGAAGUUGACCGCCUGGGGAGUACGGUCGCAAGAUUAAAACUCAAAGGAAUUGACGGGGACCCGCACAAGCGGUGGAUGAUGU
rnacentral:rRNA from 1 species